CAGCCUGGGGGCAGGGUGGGGGUGUCUCCCUCACCCCCAAGGGUUUAGCCCAUCUCUCCUCUGCUGUGGACACUCAGCACCCACCCCAGGUGCCUGGACACCACCACCACCCCGGACACGGCUGCCUGGAAGAAGACGAGUUCCCAGGCCACCCUUGAGAAAUCUGCCUGGUGGGCCCACCCGGCCCUCACCUGCCACGCCUGGCACAGACCGAGCAAUUUCACUUCCCAGUCCCCUGGGUGGGCAGCAGCAGGCACGGUGGGUGGAAUGUUCCGACGCCCACACACUGCACACUUCCGUUCGGGGCAGCUGGGCAGGGCGGCCUCUGGGAGCCUGAGCCCCUAAGAGUCCAAGGGGCCCAGCGAGGGCCCAGCUUCCGGCAUUGGGGGACGGCUGGGGACAGCGCCUCUGCUCUCACGGCCUGGGGCGCCGCUGAGCCCCAAGGGCAGAUCCCGAGUGGAGGACACUGCACAGCCCUUCUGAGCCUCCUCGCCACACGCUGUGGGUGGUGGGCUGGGCCCCGGGAGCUCUAAGCCAGGCCCUGGUCUGUGACACCCUCCUUGGACCACCAGAGAGAGCACGGUUAUGAUUUGCAAAGCAAGCAACGCCUCAGAAUGUGCCUUUCAGGCCAUGGCGGGUGGCGAGAGGCAGGACUCUUCUAGAAGUAGGGUCCUGGCCUGAGGCUACGUCCUUCGCAGGGAGGUCCUGGUGGCCCCCAGCUCUCCCGGCAAAUCCCUGCAGCCCCAGGUCUCCCUGCCGUGCUGGAAGGAGGGCCGCUUAGGACCGACGGAAACCCUCCUGUGGGUGGGAGGCCGCAGUCCUAGGAGGUUGGCCUUGGAUCUGCUGGGCCUGCUCUGCAGAACCCUGAGAAGCCACUUGGAGAGGGAGCUCUGGAACCACAGGGUCACAACUGUGUGCUGCUCAGAUCUGAAGGUUUGUGAAGCCUAGAGGUCAGGUCACGGGCCAGGCUCACAGGACACGCUAGCUUCGUGAACGUCUCUCCCUGAACCACCAUAAGGCCUCGUCAGAGGGAGUUCACUCUUGGUGGAGAGCAAGGAGACACGUUUCACACGCCUGACGGGGGAAGAACAGGAGGGAGCAGCUGUUCCCGCCAGGCCGAUGAGGAGACUGAGGUGGCUCCUGUACUUCAUUUGGGGAUGUGAGGUGAAGACGGGGCCAGUGCCCCUGGGACAGCUGAGCCCAGGGCGGGGAAGACCAUAAAUCAGGCAGGAGCCAGUGCCCGGUGCCCCAAGAUUCAACCUGCACUGACCAGGCCUGUGUCUGCCUGAGAAUCAGCCUGGGGUUCCUUCAGCGCAUGCAUACAGAGUCCUAAAAGGCUGUGGGAAGCAGCCGGAACCUUUCCUUAAAUCGCAAAACAGAGCAAGGAAAGAAUCCACAUGGCAGACAGGCUAAGAUCCCAAAUCCCAGUAAUCACUAUGACAUGGCUAAGGAACAGGGCGCAAGUCCCACCAACAAUUCCAAGAGAAAACUUCAUAUGCAAACCAAAAUCACAUCAAUCAGCUGAGUCUUCAUUUUCUUCACGUGCCAACAAAAAUAAGUAUCCCUGGGAGGACAGUGACGGGAGGCAGAGGCAGGCUAAGUCCUCACACACAGGGAAAUGGUUCCUCACACACAUGGUCGGAGAAAAAUAAGGCAAGUACUAGAAAAUUAAAACAGGACGAGUAUCUGUUUAGCAACUAGCGAAAAAUGGAGUGAAAUGUACCUACCAAGGGUGAGAAAACAGCAAACACACAGAGCAGCACCAAGCAGUCGUUGCCCUGAGAUGACGGGAGCAAACGUAUGACUGGCAAUGGCAAGAGCAAAACACACGAGCGGAUUUUCCCCUCGCAGCCUCAAAUUGGCUUUCUGUCCCUCUGGGUCUGCCUACUCUGGGUACGUUUUGAGUUAAUUUUUGUAUAAGUUAUGAGACUUAGGUCAAAGUUCCUUUUUUUUUUUUUUUUUUUUUGCCUAUAGAUGUCUGAUUCUUCCAGCACCAUUUGUUGAAAAACUGCUGUUCUUCCACUGAAUUCUUUAUAUACCUUUGUCAAAAAUCAGGUGGGCAUAUUUGUGUGGGUCAGUUUCUGGGUUUUCUGUUCUGUUCCGUUGGUUGGAGAGUCUACCCUGCUGCACACGCGUCACUUUCUCAACGUUGUCAUGAUGGAUGAGGCUUUAAUAUCCACGCCCGCUGGAGUGACGGCUCCACUUUUUUCUCCCUUGUUUCAGGAUUGGUUUUGUUUGUUUGUUUGAGAUGGAGUCCCCGCUCUGUCGCCCAGGCUGGAGUGCAGUGGCACGAUCUUGGCUCACUAGAACCUCUGCCUCCCAGGUUCAAGUGAUUCUCCUGCCUCAGCCUCUCAAGUAGCUGGGAUAACAGGCACAACCACCAUGCCCAGCUAAUUUUUGUAUUUUUAGUGGAGAUGGGGUUUCACUGUGUUGGCCAGGCUGGUCUCAAUCUUCUGAUCUCAUGACCCACCCACCUCAGCCCCCCAGAAUGCUGGCAUUACAGGCGUGAGCCACUGAGCCUGGCCUACUUUUUGCAUUUUUUAGUAGGGACAGGGUUUUGCCAUUGCCAUGUUGGCCAGGCUGGCCUUGAACCGCUGACUCCAGGUGAUCCACCAGCGUCGGCCUCCCACAGUGCUAGGAUUACAGGCGUGAGCCACCGCGCCUGGCCAAGUUUUUUUUUUUUUUUUUUUUUUUUUUUUUUUUUUUUUCUGAGACGGAGUCUUGCUCUGUCACCCAGGCUGGCAUGCAGUGGCACAAUCUCGGCUCACUCCAACCUCUGCCUCCUGGGUUCAAGAGAUUCUCCUGCCUCACCCUCCCAAGUAGCUGGGAUUACAGGCACCUGCCACCACGCCUGGCUAAUUUUUGUAUUCUUAGUAGAGACGGGGUUUCACCAUGUUGGCCAGGAUGGACUCGAUCUCCUGACCUCGUGAUCUGCCUGCCUCAGCCUCCUAAAGUGCUGGGAUUACAGGCGUGAGCCACCGCGCCUGGUAAUUGUUUUAAGUAUUCUAGGUCCUUCGCCUUUCCUUAUAAAUUUUAUUUUAUUUAUUUUCUUUUAUCUCCUCAAUCCCAAUGGUUAACCCCAAGCUCACAACCACUUUACUCUUAGCUUCUAAAGGGG